rnacentral:rRNA from 1 species
CCUACGGGAGGCAGCAGUAGGGAAUCUUUCACAAUGGGCGAAAGCCUGAUGGAGCAACGCCGCGUGCAGGAUGAAGGCCUUCGGGUUGUAAACUGCUUUUAUAAGCGAGAAAUAUGAUGGUAACUUAUGAAUAAGGAUCGGCUAACUACGUGCCAGCAGCCGCGGUCAUACGUAGGAUCCGAGAAUUAUCCGGAGUGACUGGGUGUAAAGAGUUGCGUAGGUGGCAUAAUAAGUAGCUAGUGAAAUCUGGUGGCUCAACCAUUCAGACUAUUAGCUAAACUGUUAAGCUCGAGACCGUUAGGGGUAACUGGAAUUUCUAGUGUAGGAGUGAAAUCCGUAGAUAUUAGAAGGAACACCAAUAGCGUAGGCAGGUUGCUGGGACGGUUCUGACACUAAGGCACGAAAGCGUAGGGAGCAAACGGGAUUAGAUACCCCUGUAGUC